CGCACCUUGCGCCACGUGGUAUUCCACGGGGCACGCCUGUUUGAGUGUCACGAAAACCCAUCGCGUCGCGGAUUGUCAUGAUCUGCGGGGCGGAUUUGGACGUUGCCGGUCACUCGGCUCGUCUCGAAAUGCAUUAGCCAGUCCGAGGACUCUCGCCUUUGGUGUGAUAAUUCACUUUGCGCCGCUGGUGUGUCCUAGGUAGGCUCACAAUCGCCCGCAAGGGCAACUUUUAAUGCUCUGGCCUCAAAUCAGGUGGGACUACCCGCUGAACUUAA
rnacentral:misc_RNA from 1 species